rnacentral:tRNA from 1 species
GUCGGUGUAGUAUAGUGGUUAGUACUUCUCGUUGUGGUUUCUAGGCAACUAGAUAAUGAUUCCGAGAGGACCCAUGUUCGAUUCAUGGCACCGACA